CGUCUUGGUCAAUGAAGUUGAGUGCUUGCAUUUAACUGAUUUGACAUUAAGACGAGUGGCGAACUGGUGAGUAACACGUGGGUAACUUGCCCCGAGGCGGGGGAUAACAUUUGGAAACAGGUGCUAAUACCGCAUAACAACAAAAACCACAUGGUUUUUGUUUAAAAGAUGGUUUCGGCUAUCACUUUGGGAUGGACCCGCGGCGUAUUAGCUAGUUGGUGAGGUAAUGGCUCACCAAGGCAAUGAUACGUAGCCGACCUGAGAGGGUAAUCGGCCACAUUGGGACUGAGACACGGCCCAAACUCCUACGGGAGGCAGCAGUAGGAAAUCUUCCACAAUGGACGAAAGUCUGAUGGAGCAACGCCGCGUGAGUGAUGAAGGGUUUCGGCUCGUAAAACUCUGUUGUUGGAGAAGAACGGGUGUCAGAGUAACUGUUGACAUCGUGACGGUAUCCAACCAGAAAGCCACGGCUAACUACGUGCCAGCAGCCGCGGUAAUACGUAGGUGGCAAGCGUUGUCCGGAUUUAUUGGGCGUAAAGCGAGCGCAGGCGGUUUUUUAGGUCUGAUGUGAAAGCCUUCGGCUUAACCGGAGAAGUGCAUCGGAAACCGGGAGACUUGAGUGCAGAAGAGGACAGUGGAGCUCCAUGUGUAGCGGUGAAAUGCGUAGAUAUAUGGAAGAACACCAGUGGCGAAGGCGGCUGUCUGGUCUGCAACUGACGCUGAGGCUCGAAAGCAUGGGUAGCGAACAGGAUUAGAUACCCU
rnacentral:rRNA from 1 species